GACCGAAAGGCUAAGUGUCUCUGCCACCCUGUGUCCCUGCCUCAUGCCACACGUCUCCGCUGGAGGACGGACGAACAGGUUUCUCCAAGUAAUUCUGCUCUGUGCUGCAGAUUAGAAUCUGACUCAAGCAAAAGCAUUCCCCAUGUACCAGGUUACCACAGUAAGGCAGCAGAUCUGGUCCCUCUGAGGAAGCAAUCCACAGUCUUUUCAAGAAAAUGUUUUACCUGAGAGUCAAAAGAUAAUCCAGAAACGAGAAAUUAUUAUUGCAACCCAGUGUUAAAGUUUCAUAUAAAUCAAAAUCUCAAAAUCAUCCAAACCCCUCUUGUUUUGGAUAAAUCAUAACACCUAUAAAUACAAACUUCAUCUAUAAUUGAUAGAAGUAUGACAUUUAGAAAAAUAUAAAAUGUCAACGGAGACAUCUUUCAUCAAAGGCCAUGUUUAUAACAAUACAAGGAAGGAAUGCAUGAACAUCAAAGGAAGAUUUGGCAAGAGACCAAAGAAGAGAAAGUACAAAGCAGAGAAAUUUUUCUGUGUUUAUCAAGCAGAAGGAAGCAGUGCUGACCAGGACAAAACUGCUGCUCUCCCCAGGGCUCUCUGGAAUUAAGAAAUCUGGGAGACAGAGAGAGUUCUCUUUAUUUUCCAUAACCUAGAAAAGAGAACCAUCAUGAUGACCUGUUUUUCUUCAUGCCAAGUGAGCAAGCAGGAUAUUGACACUUAAAAAACAAACAAACAAAAAAAAACAUGCAUUGAGACCACUGGAAGUAAAUGUUCUCCCCUGCAAUUAACAAUUUGGCCCUGUGGUUCAUGCAUCACUAUCUUCUGAGCUGGUUUAAGGUUUCAGUCUUUGGAAAGUUGAUAAACUCCAACCUCCCUGCACCAGCAAACCAUAAAUUGAGGCCCUCAUGGGGAGCUCUCACCCUGGGUCCUGCUUAGCUAUGCAAUCUGCUUACCACUUCCUGAGUUACAAAAACCUUAAAGGUGGCCAACUGUUCUGAAUAAAGAUGAGCUCUUCCAGCCAAGAGAAAAAAAUUAGUGUCUCAAAAAUCAUUCUGCCAUACAUGCAACAAAAAUUCAAAGUGCUCUCCUCAAUAAUUAUCCAAUGCUGAGAUAAUUGUCAGUGAAACAGAUGGAAUGAAUUAUGGUUACAUAUUUAAACAUGUAUUGGAAUUGAAGCAACUUUCCAG
rnacentral:lncRNA from 1 species